AAGGCUCGGAUCGCGGCUUCUCUUCCGACGAUUCAGAAAUGUCUGAGAGGUCUUUGUGCAUGGUUGCCAGAUUCUACUAGUGACGUGGUUCGAAAAUUGUUCUGCAAAUUCAUUGAUACUGUCAAACUGCCAGAUGCAGAAUCUCCGAAUGUGUCAAACGACGAAAAUGACUUUAUCUCCUUCAAAGAAGCUGAUGACGAUAAUAUAUC